rnacentral:rRNA from 1 species
AUUGAACGCUGGCGGCAGGCCUAACACAUGCAAGUCGAGCGAGCGGCGGACGGGUGCGUACUGUCUGGUAAACUGCCUGUUGGAUGGGGAUAACUACUGGAAACGGUAGCUAAUACCGCAUACCAUCCGAUUUGCCCAGAUGGGAUUAGCUAGUCGGUGGGGUAACGGCUCACCUAGGCGACGAUCCCUAGCUGGUCUGAGAGGAUGACCAGCCACACUGGAACGGAGACACGGUCCAGACUCCUACGGGAGGCAGCAGUGGGGAAUAUUGCACAAUGGGCGCAAGCCUGAUGGAGCCAUGCCGCGUGUAUGAAGAAGGCUUUCGGGUUGUAAAGUACUUUUAGCGGGGAGGCGGUACCCGCAGAGGAAGCACCGGCUAACUACGUGCCAGCAGCCGCGGUAAUAC